UUAAAGUUUUAUUUUAGCUUAAAUUAAUAGUUUAUAAUUACUUUAAAUGUAAAUUUUAGUGUAAUUUUAUAUAUUUUUAAAUAAAAUAGAUUAUUUGCAAUAUUUAAUUUUAUAAAUUAAGGAAACUUAGAUUUAGUAAUUUAUUUUAUAAUAAACAAAAUUUGUGCCAGCAGUUGCGGUUAUACAAAUUAUUAAAUUAUUAAUUAUAAAUUUAUAAUAAUUUAUUUUUUAUAUUAAAUAAAAUUUUAAUUUAUUAAGUGAAAUUUUAAUUUUUAAAAUUAUUUAGUUAGAAUUAGAAGAUAUUAUUAAAUUUAAGUAAGACUAGGAUUAGAUACCCUAUUAUGAAAAUGUAAAUUUAAAAAUUAAAUUAGUAUUAGUUAUGUUCUUGAAAAUUAAAAAAUUUGGCGGUAUUUUAGUCUUUUCAGAGGAACCUGUUCUGUAAUUGAUAAUCCACGAUUUAGGUUACUUAUUUUAGAAAUUUGUAUAUCGUUGUAGUUGAAUAUUUUAUAAGAAUUUUAAUAUUCAAAAAAUUUAAUUAAAUAAAAAAUCAAAUCAAGGUGCAGUUUAUAAAUAAGAUGAAAUGGGUUACAAUUAAUUUAUUAAUAGUUAUAUUAUUAAAAAUGAUAUAUAAAUUGGAUUUGAAAGUAAUUAAAUUUAAAUAAAUUUAAUGAUUUUAGCUCUAAAAUAUGCACAUAUCGCCCGUCACUCUCAUCUAAAAUGAGAUAAGUCGUAACAAAGUAGAUGUACUGGAAAGUGUAUCUAGUAACAA
rnacentral:ncRNA from 1 species